GGAGAUAUAUCUCAAUAGGUAGAGUAUCGCUUUAGUAAUGUUAUAGGUUACUAGGGCGAAGGUUAGAGGUUCAAAUUCUUUUAUCCCCA
rnacentral:tRNA from 1 species